rnacentral:lncRNA from 1 species
GUGGCUUCUCUUCAGGAGCUGGAAGAUCUUGUUUAUAAAUCCCAUAAUUCAGAGCCACAGCUGUCAUGUCAUUCAUUAAUCUAAGACAGUUUAAUCCAACAAUCUGAGCUGCAUCCAGAACAGACCUCCUUUCAGCAUCAGUGAAAAACGAUGGAACAGAAAUAACACAGUCUGUUACUGGCUUUUUCAGGUUACUCUCUGCAGUCUCCUUUAACUUUGUCAACAACAUCGCUGAAAUCUGUUCCACACUGAAGAUGUGCUCCUCAUCCAUGUACAUGACCUUCACUCCAAC